rnacentral:rRNA from 1 species
UACGUAGGGGGCAAGCGUUGUCCGGAUUUAUUGGGCGUAAAGAGCGCGCAGGCGGUCGUUCAAGUCGCGUGUGAAAGCCCCCCGGCUCAACUGGGGAGGGUCACGCGAUACUGAUCGACUCGAAGGCAGGAGAGGGUAGUGGAAUUCCCGGUGUAGCGGUGAAAUGCGUAGAUAUCGGGGAGGAACACCAGUGGCGAAGGCGACUACCUGGCCCAUUCUUGACGCUGAGGCGCGAAAGCUAGGGGAGCGA